rnacentral:lncRNA from 1 species
CUGGGAUAAAAUGGUUUUAGCUGGGAUAAAGCCUCAUUGUUAACUUCAGAAUAGGUAGCAUCUCAAUUCUAGAAUGAAGCUAAAAUUCCUUUCUUUCUAUCGUCAGCCACUAUCCAGGUCACUUCUUCCAGAAGUCCCUGUCUGCCCCCUACCCACUUGACUUUGGUCCAAAGGUCCUCUAACUAGGCCACAGAAUAGGCUUUCUGAAGGCACUGCAAAAUAUGUUUCCUUCUGCUCUAGUAUACAAUUCAUCCAGCAAUCCUUUUCUUUCUAAACCAUAAAUCAUGGUGGGCAAGAUUGUGUGCGGACACCAGGAAACACAGCAGGCAGCCUGUAAUUAGCAAUGAAGAUUCAUCCUUCCAUCAUUUUUGCUGGACUGUGCAGAACUUGGGUUCACUGUGUCUGCAGUUUUCAAACUUUUCUACUGAGCCUUUCUCCUGGUAGCUCUGGGUCAAAAUAAAAGGAAACUAAUUUUAUCAUUAAUAAAAAGUUUGUUCUAACUUUUCAAUGUUUCCAUGGUUGCCAGUAGCUGGAAAAAUAGCUUUCAAAAAGAGGAAACCCUUUUACACAUA